rnacentral:rRNA from 1 species
UACGGAGGGUGCAAGCGUUGUCCGGAUUUAUUGGGUUUAAAGGGUGCGUAGGCGGCUUUUUAAGUCAGCGGUGAAAGACAACAGCUCAACUGUUGCAGUGCCAUUGAUACUGAAGAGCUUGAGUACAGAUGAGGUAGGCGGAAUUUAUGGUGUAGCGGUGAAAUGCAUAGAUACCAUAAAGAACACCUAUUGCGAAGGCAGCUUACUAAGCUGUAACUGACGCUGAGGCACGAAAGUGUGGGGAUCAAACAGGAUUAGAUACCCUGGUAGUCCACACUGUAAACGAUGAUCACUCGAUGUGUGCGAUAGACAGUACGCGUCCAAGCGAAAGCGUUAAGUGAUCCACCUGGGGAGUACGCUCGCAAGAGUGAA